rnacentral:rRNA from 1 species
UGCAACGAUGAAGAACGCAGCGAAAUGCGAUACCUAGUGUGAAUUGCAGAAUUCCGCGAAUCAUCGAGUUUUUGAACGCAAGUUGCGCCCGAGGCUCGUACCGAGGGCAUGUCUGUCUGAGCGUCCA